rnacentral:rRNA from 1 species
UCAAGCGAAGAAGGGCGCAGGGCGGAUGCCUUGGCACUGAGAGCCGAUGAAAGACGUGAUAAGCUGCGAUAAGCUUCGGGGAGGAGCAAAUAUCCUUUGAUCCGGAGAUCUCUGAAUGGGGAAACCCGGCUGUAUGGACUACAGUCAUCCAUAAGUGAAUCCAUAGCUUAUGGAAGGGAACCCGGGGAACUGAAACAUCUAAGUACCCGGAGGAAGAGAAAGAAACAUUCGAUUCCGUAAGUAGCGGCGAGCGAACGCGGAAGAGCCCAAACCGUGAUGCGUGCAUCGCGGGGUUCGGACUGCAUAAGGGAUUCAGUAACGGCAGGAGAACGGCUUUGGAACAGCCGGCCAGAGAGGGUGAGAGCCCCGUAUCCGAAGCCAGAGCUGACCCGGCAGGAUCCAGAGUACCACGGGACACGGGAAACCCUGUGGGAACGAGCGGAGACCACUCCGUAAGGCUAAAUACUACUCAGUGACCGAUAGCGUAUAGUACUGUGAAGGAAAGGUGAAAAGAACCCCGGGAGGGGAGUGAAAGAGAACCUGAAACCCUGUGUCUACAAGCUGUGGAAGUACUUCUCAGGUACGACCGCGUACUUUUUGUAGAACGGUCCGGCGAGCUGCGGGUACUGGCAAGGUUAAGCACUUCAGGUGCGGAGCCGUAGGGAAACCAAGUCUUAAGAGGGCGUUUUAGUCAGUACGUGCAGGCCCGAAACCGGGUGACCUAUCCAUGUCCAGGUUGAAGCCGCCGUAAAAGGCGAUGGAGGACCGAACCCACAUCCGUUGAAAAGGGUGGGGAUGAGGUGUGGAUAGCGGAGAAAUUCCAAUCGAACCCGGAGAUAGCUGGUUCUCCUCGAAAUAGCUUUAGGGCUAGCCUCAUGAGAGUCUUAUGGAGGUAGAGCACUGAAUUGCCUAGGGGGCGUCAAAGCUUACCAAAGCAUAUCAAACUCCGAAUGCCAUCAAGAUGAUUCAUGGGAGUCAGACCAUACGAGAUAAGUUGGAUGGUCAAAAGGGAAAGAGCCCAGACCUACAGCUAAGGUCCCAAAGUGCGUGUUAAGUGGAAAAGGAUGUGGGGAUUCUAAGACAACUAGGACGUUGGCUUAGAAGCAGCCAUUCAUUGAAAGAGUGCGUAAUAGCUCACUAGUCGAGAGUCCCUGCGCCGAAAAUGUCCGGGGCUGAAACACGACACCGAAGCUUAGGAAUGUGUAAACAUUGGUAGAGGAGCAUUGUUAGCGGGAUGAAGCCAUACCGUAAGGAGUGGUGGACUGCUAAGAAGAGAGAAUGCCGGAAUGAGUAGCGAGAUGAAGGUGAGAAUCCUUCAGGCCGAAUAUCUAAGGUUUCCAGAGUAAAGCUGAUCUGCUCUGGGUAAGUCGGGACCUAAGGCGAGGUCGAAAGACGUAGUCGAUGGAUAACAGGUUGAAAUUCCUGUACCGCAUAUAAACAGAACUGUGGGGACACAGACAGGGAAUGGAAUCCGGGAAUGGAUAUCCCGGUGCAAGCGAGGUAGGAGUGCUGUUGGCAAAUCCGCAGCAUGAUCUGAAGACGUGACGCGUACCGAACAUAAGUAGGGAAGUCCAGGCCCCUGGCUGUCAAGAAAAGCCGCUAUUGUUUUAUAUGUGCCCGUACCGCAAACCGACACAGGUGGAUGAGGAGAGAAUCCUAAGGCCGACGGGAGAAGUAUUGUUAAGGAACUCGGCAAAAUGACUCCGUAACUUCGGGAGAAGGAGUGCCAUGUAAAAGUGGCCGCAGAGAAUUGGCCCAAGCAACUGUUUAGCAAAAACACAGGUCUAUGCAAAACCGAAAGGUGAGGUAUAUGGGCUGACGCCUGCCCGGUGCUGGAAGGUUAAGAGGAGAUGUUAAUCGCAAGGUGAAGCAUUGAAUUUAAGCCCCAGUAAACGGCGGCCGUAACUAUAACGGUCCUAAGGUAGCGAAAUUCCUUGUCGGGUAAGUUC